GUGAGGAAUAUUGCUCAAUGGGCGAAAGCCUGAAGCAGCAACGCCGCGUGCGCGAUGAAGGCCUUCGGGUCGUAAAGCGCUUUUGAGAGGGACGAGAUAGGACGGUACCUCUUGAAUAAGUCACGGCUAACUACGUGCCAGCAGCCGCGGUAAAACGUAGGUGGCAAGCGUUAUCCGGAUUCACUGGGCGUAAAGCGCGUGCAGGUGGCUUCGUAAGUUGGACGUUAAAUCUCCCGGCCUAACCGGGAGGAGUCGUUCAAUACUGCGGGGCUGGAGGGCAGAAGAGGGGGGUGGAAUUGCUGGUGUAGUGGUGAAAUGCGUAGAUAUCAGCAGGAACACCUGUGGCGAAAGCGGCCCCCUGGUCUGCUCCUGACACUCAGACGCGAAAGCUAGGGGAGUGAACGGGAUUAGAUACCCCAGUAGUCC
rnacentral:rRNA from 1 species